AUCGCUUCUCGGCCUUUUGGCUAAGAUCAAGUGUAGUAUCUGUUCUUAUCAGUUUAAUAAAGAGAUUAAAUUGUUGGAAAGACAGGAGAAUAAUUUGUCAGAGACCACUUGCUUGCCAGAGAACUUUCUAGAAGAUAUCCAGAAAGUCAAAGUCC
rnacentral:snRNA from 1 species